ACACCACCACCACAAACUAGUGCCCCUGCCACACCUCCGACUUAUCAAGGUAAUGGGCAACCACCAACUUCGGCACCGCUGCCACCUAGUCCGUCAGUAACACCAUCACCAUAUGGCCCCCCUAUUGGUACUGAAGGGUGGGUGAAAGUUCAUAAUUUUCAUGAUGCCCUGUAUUGGAAAAUCGGGCAAUUUGCGGUUUUAAGACUAAAGUUGGUAAAAAAGAAGGAUAUUUCCCUUGUCGAUGUGCUCUAUGUGAUCAUGCAACCUGCUGGAAUUGACAACAACUACUUCCUUGAGAUAAAAGCCGCGGAUGAAUAUAAGAAGGUCGACAAGUAUCAAGUGCUCGUAUGGGCUAUGCCUGGGUCAGCAGUUCAACCAUGGAAAGUGCUAUCAUUUAAAUUUUCAGGAAACUAA
rnacentral:rRNA from 1 species